UACGUAGGGGGCAAGCGUUGUCCGGAAUCAUUGGGCGUAAAGCGCGCGUAGGCGGCCCUGUAAGUCCGUUGUGAAAGUCAAAGGCUCAACCUUUGAAAGCCGAUGGAUACUGCAGGGCUAGAGUCCGGAAGAGGCGAGUGGAAUUCCUGGUGUAGCGGUGGAAUGCGUAGAGAUCGGCAGGAACACCCAGGGGGAAACCAGUGGACUGGGCAUGGGCUGACGCUCAGGUGCGAAAGCGUGGGGAGCGAACAGG
rnacentral:rRNA from 1 species